AACGCGAAGAACCUUACCAAAUCUUGACAUCCUUUGAAAACUCUAGAGAUAGAGCUUUCCCCUUCGGGGGACAAAGUGACAGGUGGUGCAUGGUUGUCGUCAGCUCGUGUCGUGAGAUGUUGGGUUAAGUCCCGCAACGAGCGCAACCCUUAAGCUUAGUUGCCAGCAUUAAGUUGGGCACUCUAAGUUGACUGCCGGUGACAAACCGGAGGAAGGUGGGGAUGACGUCAAAUCAUCAUGCCCCUUAUGAUUUGGGCUACACACGUGCUACAAUGGACAAUACAAAGGGCAGCUAAACCGCGAGGUCAUGCAAAUCCCAUAAAGUUGUUCUCAGUUCGGAUUGUAGUCUGCAACUCGACUACAUGAAGCUGGAAUCGCUAGUAAUCGUAGAUCAGCAUGCUACGGUGAAUACGUUCCCGGGUCUUGUACACACCGCCCGUCACACCACGAGAGUUUGUAACACCCGAAGCCGGUGGAGUAACCAUUUAUGGAGCUAGCCGUCGAAGGUGGGACAAAUGAUUGGGGUGAAGUCGUAACAAGGUAGCCGUAUCGGAAGGUG
rnacentral:rRNA from 1 species